CCUACGGGAGGCAGCAGUGGGGAAUAUUGCACAAUGGGGGGAACCCUGAUGCAGCGACGCCGCGUGGGUGAAGGAGUAUUUCGGUAUGUAAAGCCCUAUCAGCAGGGAAGAACAAUGACGGUACCUGACUAAGAAGCACCGGCUAAAUACGUGCCAGCAGCCGCGGUAAUACGUAUGGUGCAAGCGUUAUCCGGAUUUACUGGGUGUAAAGGGGGCGCAGGCGGCGCGUUAAGCCUGGUGUGAAAGUCCGCGGCCCAACCGCGGGACUGCAUUGGGAACUGGCGCGCUGGAGUGCCGGAGGGGUAGGCGGAAUGCCUAGUGUAGCGGUGAAAUGCGUAGAUAUUAGGAGGAACACCAGUGGCGAAGGCGGCCUACUGGACGGUGACUGACGCUGAGGCUCGAAAGCGUGGGGAGCAAACAGGAUUAGAUACCCGAGUAGUC
rnacentral:rRNA from 1 species